rnacentral:rRNA from 1 species
GCCCUUCAGCAGCCGCGGUAAUACGUAGGGUGCAAGCGUUAAUCGGAAUUACUGGGCGUAAAGCGUGCGCAGGCGGUUGUGUAAGACAGGUGUGAAAUCCCCGGGCUUAACCUGGGAAUUGCAUUUGUGACUGCACGACUAGAGUGUGUCAGAGGGGGGUGGAAUUCCACGUGUAGCAGUGAAAUGCGUAGAUAUGUGGAGGAACACCAAUGGCGAAGGCAGCCCCCUGGGAUAACACUGACGCUCAUGCACGAAAGCGUGGGGAGCAAACAGGAUUAGAUACCCUGGUAGUCCACGCCCUAAACGAUGUCAACUAGUUGUUGGGGAUUUACUUCCUUGGUAACGUAGCUAACGCGUGAAGUUGACCGCCUGGGGAGUACGGCCGCAAGGUUAAAACUCAAAGGAAUUGACGGAAGGGC